rnacentral:rRNA from 1 species
AGCGAACGCUGGCGGCAUGCCUAACACAUGCAAGUCGAACGAACCUUUCGGGGUUAGUGGCGGACGGGUGAGUAACACGUGGGAACGUGCCUUUAGGUUCGGAAUAACUCAGGGAAACUUGUGCUAAUACCGAAUGUGCCCUUCGGGGGAAAGAUUAAUCGCCUUUAGAGCGGCCCGCGUCUGAUUAGCUAGUUGGUUGAGGUAAUGGCUCACCAAGGCGACGAUCAGUAGCUGGUCUGAGAGGAUGAUCAGCCACAUUGGGACUGAGACACGGCCCAAACUCCUACGGGAGGCAGCAGUGGGGAAUCUUGCGCAAUGGGCGAAAGCCUGACGCAGCCAUGCCGCGUGAAUGAUGAAGGUCUUAGGAUUGUAAAAUUCUUUCACCGGGGACGAUAAUGACGGUACCCGGAGAAGAAGCCCCGGCUAACUUCGUG